CGAAAAGUUUGGUUAGUUCAUGGUUCAGCUGAGUUCGUCGCCAUUUUGGCUAUUUGUUAAAAUUCGUCGACAAACCGACGAAGUCCUCGACCAUUUUGAGUUCAGCUUCGUUCAGGUUCGUUCGAAAAAGUCGAGUGGUUCGAUAUGUUUUUCAAAAACUUUUCAUCGUUAGUAAUAACGAUGGCAAAAAGAAUUGAUCCACCUUGAAAGAGUGAAAAGUCGUACGAUGUGAUUCAUUAUUUAAAUCAUUUUUAGGAAAUGAUCAGUCCACAUUUUUCGCAAGAGAAAUAUUAAAAGGAACCACGUGACAAUUGUAGCAAAAGUAAAUUUGUGGUGACGAGACGAUUCAACAAUGCUUCCACUUCAAUUCGCUGGAGGGAGUAAUAGUACAAACAACGACUAAAAUUUAUAGAUGAAUAUUCGUGCGUGUCCUGUAUUCUUUUAUAUGGUGAAAUAAAAUUAUUAAAAAUAAACAUUUAAAAUAUAUUUACCA